rnacentral:rRNA from 1 species
CCUACGGGGUGCUGCAGUGAGGAAUAUUGGUCAAUGGACGAGAGUCUGAACCAGCCAAGUAGCGUGAAGGAUGACUGCCCUAUGGGUUGUAAACUUCUUUUAUAUGGGAAUAAAAUGUUCCACGUGUGGGAUUUUGUAUGUACCAUAUGAAUAAGGAUCGGCUAACUCCGUGCCAGCAGCCGCGGUAAUACGGAGGAUCCGAGCGUUAUCCGGAUUUAUUGGGUUUAAAGGGUGCGUAGGUGGAUUGUUAAGUCAGUUGUGAAAGUUUGCGGCUCAACCGUAAAAUUGCAGUUGAAACUGGCAGUCUUGAGUGCAGUAGAGGUAGGCGGAAUUCGUGGUGUAGCGGUGAAAUGCUUAGAUAUCACGAAGAACUCCGAUUGCGAAGGCAGCUCACUGGACUGCAACUGACACUGAGGCUCGAAAGUGUGGGUAUCGAACAGGAUUAGAUACCCGAGUAGUC